rnacentral:rRNA from 1 species
UACGGAGGAUGCGAGCGUUAUCCGGAUUUAUUGGGUUUAAAGGGUGCGUAGGCGGAAGCUUAAGUCAGCGGUAAAAACUACGGGCUCAACCCGUACCUGCCGUUGAAACUGGGCAUCUAGAGUGGGCGAGAAGUAUGCGGAAUGCGUGGUGUAGCGGUGAAAUGCAUAGAUAUCACGCAGAACUCCGAUUGCGAAGGCAGCAUACCGGCGCCCAACUGACGCUGAGGCACGAAAGCGUGGGGAUCGAACAGG